rnacentral:lncRNA from 1 species
GACCAGAUAUUCCAGAUUUAUUUGAAGAAGUUAAAACUUGAUAAUGAGCCAUCGUACUUCUCCCAGAGACUUGCGGCCCUUACUCCUGGAUUUGCUGGAGCAGAUAUUGCAAAUGUUGUUAAUGAAGCUGCUUUAAUUGCUGCGAGGAGUGACCAAACAACAGUGACAAUGGAGCAUUUUGAGGGGGCUAUUGAUAGAGUAAUUGGUGGCUUGGAAAAGAAGAACAAGGUUAGUUGUAACCAGAUGAUUUCAUAUAUGUGUUGUGCUAGUUAAAUAUAUUUAUUCAUUAGUCAAUGUCCAGUAAAAGUUCACCUGUCAAAACCUAACAUGUUAACAUUAAGUUUCUUUGAUCUGUAGAAAUAUAAAGAAAAAAUAUCCUUGUGGAUCUGCCAUAUAUUAAUUUAUGGUUAUUUAUCAUAUAUGGCCAAUAUUAGGAUCAAGGUAGCCCCAUGAAAAUAUAGAGAACUUCAAUUUUGCUGCUCUGUACCUCUGUUGUUUGUCAAUUACGAAUAGAUUGAACUAUUACAGGGCUGUAACUUAUAACCAUAGUUAGCUGGAAAUUUUCUUCAUUCAUAUAUAUAGUAUUAAAAUUAAGUGAUUAAAUGUGAAGCACAGUCCUUCCACGUAUAUGGUGUUAUAAAUGAGACAUAUUUUUCGAUACUUUAGUUAAGUGUGUAUGUUUGUCUUGGUGAUUUGCUUAUAUGUUGUAUAUCCGUAAACAGGUUAUAAGCAAACUUGAGCGUCGGACUGUAGCUUAUCAUGAAGCAGGUCAUGCCAUUGUAGGAUGGUUUUUGGAACACACAGAACCUUUGCUAAAAGUUACUAUCGUUCCUCGCGGUACAGCUGCACUUGGUUUUGCACAAUAUGUACCAAAUGAAAACCUUCUCAUGACCAAGGAGCAGCUUUUUGAUAUGACAUGCAUGACACUUGGUGGUCGUGCAUCUGAGCAGGUUAGUUGAUGCAUGUUUUUACUAUUUGAGUUGCAUUGCCAAUAAUUUUUUGUUAAAUCACGGGAAAGUCACUGUUAAUACAUUUUUGACUUAAGGAUAUAACAAAAAGUUCUAUGAAAAUAGAAAGAACCUUCCUGCCACAGUUUUUCAAAUUUUUUCUGUAGCUAUAGAAGAUUUUCUUUGGUUUCAGGUUAUGUUGGGUAAAAUCUCGACUGGAGCACAAAAUGACUUGGAGAAAGUGACAAAAAUGACAUAUGCACAAGUAGCAGUCUAUGGCUUUAGUGAGAAGGUGGGUCUCCUUUCUUUCCCUCAGAGAGAGGAUGGUGGCUUUGAGAUGACUAAGCCCUACAGCAACAAGAC